CACGCAGGGUGCGAGCGUUGUCCGGAAUUAUUGGGCGUAAAGAGCUCGUAGGCGGUGUGUCGCGUCGGCCGUGAAAACCUGCAGCUUAACUGUGGGCUUGCGGUCGAUACGGGCAUCACUGGAGUUCGGCAGGGGAGACUGGAAUUCCUGGUGUAGCGGUGAAAUGCGCAGAUAUCAGGAGGAACACCGGUGGCGAAGGCGGGUCUCUGGGCCGAUACUGACGCUGAGGAGCGAAAGCGUGGGGAGCGAACAGG
rnacentral:rRNA from 1 species